AUUGCUGAGGUGGUGCGUAUGUGCCACGCGAAUGGAGUAAUGCAUAGAGACUUGAAGCCAGAGAAUUUCUUGUUCGCGAAUAAGAAGGAGAAUUCUGCACUUAAAAUUAUUGAUUUUGGAUUGUCUAUGUUUUUCAAGCCUGGGGAGAGAUUUAGUGAGAUUGUUGGAAGUUCAUACUAUAUGGCACCCUUGGUGUUGAAGAGGAAUUAUGGACCAGAGGUUGAUAUUUGGAGCGCCGGUGUGAUCCUUUAAAUUUUGUUGUGUGGGGUGCCUCCAUUUUGGGCUGAAACCGAACAGGGGCCGGGGUAGCUCUUGCAAUUCUACGGGGAGUGC